CGCGUAGGUGGUAAAGCAAGUAAGAUGUGAAAGCCCUGGGCUUAACCUGGGAAGUGCAUCUUAAACUGCUUAACUAGAGUAUGGUAGAGGGUAGUGGAAUUUCCGGUGUAGCGGUGAAAUGCGUAGAUAUCGGAAGGAACGCCAGUGGUGAAGACGACUACCUGGACCAAUACUGACACUGAGGCGCGAAAGCGUGGGGAUCAAACA
rnacentral:rRNA from 1 species